ACGAAGCCCAAAUUCACAACCGAACGUGAAUUAACGAUCACCUUCACAAGGGGAUCAUAAGGAAUCAUGUCAAGAUGGAUGGGAGCGUUGAAGGCUAACGGGCUACGAAUACUCAAUCAAAUAAGCGAACGCAAAUACGGGCGCGCAAGGUUGUACAGAACUGUGAAUUCUCAUUACGAAGCGUAAGCGGUCGAAGAUCGAGUCAAGUCGUGGAUUGUACGUGUGGGUGCGUGGUCACGUAAUUUAAUAUAAGUAUGUCAGAUUGUA